AUUGAACGCUGGCGGCAGGCCUAACACAUGCAAGUCGAACGAGUGGCGGACGGGUGAGUAAUGUCUGGGAAACUGCCUGAUGGAGGGGGAUAACUACGGGAAACGGUAGCUAAUACCGCAUACCAUCGGAUGUGCCCACAUGGGAUUAGCUAGUGGGUGGGGUAAAGGCUCACCUAGGCGACGAUCCCUAGCUGGUCUGAGAGGAUGACCAGCCACACUGGGACUGAGACACGGUCCAGACUCCUACGGGAGGCAGCAGUGGGGAAUAUUGCACAAUGGGCGCAAGCCUGAUGCAGCCAUGCCGCGUGAAUGAAGAAGGCCUUCGGGUUGUAAAGUUCUUUCAGCGGGGAGGCGUUACCCGCAGAAGAAGCACCGGCUAACUCCGUGCCAGCAGCCGCGGUAAUAC
rnacentral:rRNA from 1 species